rnacentral:rRNA from 1 species
GUCCCUCUCAGUUGGGUCAUGUGCACGCUUGGAUCGGAUUUGUUCAUUCCUUUUCAUAUACACCUGUGCACGAUCCUGUAGCUUGGGGAUGAUCAUGGAGUCACUGACUGUGGUGUAGUGGCCAUACAUCGCAUGUCUGGCUUUUAAUGCCCUCGCUAUGAAUGUUUUUUCUUCUUCAAUACACUUCUUGGUUUAAAGUCCUUAUAGAAUGUUUGCUCAGCGUUUAACAGCGCGAAUGAAAUACAACUUUCAGCAACGGAUCUCUUGGCUCUCGCAUCGAUGAAGAACGCAGCGAAAUGCGAUAAGUAAUGUGAAUUGCAGAAUUCAGUGAAUCAUCGAAUCUUUGAACGCACCUUGCGCUCCUUGGUAUUCCGAGGAGCAUGCCUGUUUGAGUGUCAUGAAAUUCUCAACUGCUUCAACUCUGUUCGAAGUGAAGUUGGACUUUGGAGGGAUCGGUUUGCCGGCAUUUGUUCGGCUCCUCUUGAAAGCAAUAAAGCCUUUUCGUUGUAGAUCUUGGCAUUAAAAGUAUCUUUGACGUGAUAAACUAUCUACGUCGCAGAGAAAAAGCCUUGAGCAAGAAACCCUUAGUAGGGGGUUUCCUACAUGAAUGGCUUCAUGCCCUCGGGUGUGGACCACAUUUGACCAAUUCGACCUCAAAUCAGGCAGGACUACCCGCUGAACUUAAGCAUAUCAAUAAGCGGA